GAUGAACGCUGGCGGCGUGCCUAAUACAUGCAAGUAGAACGCUGAAGCUUGGUGCUUGCACCGAGCGGAUGAGUUGCGAACGGGUGAGUAACGCGUAGGUAACCUGCCUCUUAGCGGGGGAUAACUAUUGGAAACGAUAGCUAAUCCCGCAUAAAAGUCGACAUCGCAUGAUGUUGACUUGAAAGGUGCAAUUGCAUCACUAAGAGAUGGACCUGCGUUGUAUUAGCUAGUUGGUGAGGUAACGGCUCACCAAGGCGACGAUACAUAGCCGACCUGAGAGGGUGAUAGGCCACACUGGGACUGAGACACGGCCCAGACGCCUACGGGAGGCAGCAGUAGGGAAUCUUCGGCAAUGGGGGCAACCCUGACCGAGCAACGCCGCGUGAGUGAAGAAGGGUGUCGGAUCGUAAAGCUCUGUUGUAAGAGAAGAACGAGUGUGAGAGUGGAAAGUUCACACUGUGACGGUAACUUACCAGAAAGGGACGGCUAACUACGUG
rnacentral:rRNA from 1 species